GACGAACGCUGGCGGCGUGCUUAACACAUGCAAGUCGAACGGAAAGGCCCCUUUGGGGGUACUCGAGUGGCGAACGGGUGAGUAACACGUGAGUAACCUGCCCUUGACUUCGGGAUAACUUCAGGAAACUGGGGCUAAUACCGGAUAGGAAUCCUUGCUGCAUGGUGGGGGUUGGAAAGCUUCGGCGGUUUUGGAUGGACUCGCGGCUUAUCAGCUUGUUGGUGGGGUAGUGGGUUACCAACGCUUUGACGGGUAGCCGGCCUGAGAGGGCGACCGGCCACAUUGGGACUGAGAUACGGCCGAGGCGCCGACGGGAGGCAGAAGUGGGGAAGAUUGCACAAUGGGCGGAGGCCGGAUGCAGCAAGGCCGCGUGCGGGAUGACGGCCUUCGGGUUGAAAACCGCUUUCAGCAGGGGCGAGGCGUGUGGUGACGGUACCUGCAGAAGAAGCACCGGCUAACUACGUG
rnacentral:rRNA from 1 species